UACGUAGGGUGCAAGCGUUGUCCGGAAUUAUUGGGCGUAAAGAGCUCGUAGGCGGUUUGUCGCGUCGAAUGUGAAAACCCGGGGCUCAACCCCGGGCCUGCAUUCGAUACGGGCAGACUAGAGUUCGGUAGGGGAGUCUGGAAUUCCUGGUGUAGCGGUGAAAUGCGCAGAUAUCAGGAGGAACACCCGUGGCUAAGGCGGCUCUCUAGUACGGUACUGACGCUGAGACGCGAAAGCGUGGGGAGCGAACAGG
rnacentral:rRNA from 1 species